UAAAAGAUAAGCUAAGUUAAGCUAAUGGGUUCAUACCUCAUUUAUGGAUAUAAAUUCCUCUUUUUG
rnacentral:tRNA from 1 species